AUUGAACGCUGGCGGCAGGCCUAACACAUGCAAGUCGAGCGAAGCGGGGACGGGUGAGUAACACGUGGAUAACCUCCUAUAAGACUGGGAUAACUUCGGGAAACCGGAUCUAGACCGGAUCCUUAUAGAUGGAUCCGCGCUGCAUUAGCUAGUUGGUAAGGUAACGGCUUACCAAGGCAACGAUGCAUAGCCGACCUGAGAGGGAGAUCAGCAACACGGGAACUGAGACACGGUACAGACUGCUACGGGAGGCAGCAGGGGGGAAUCUUACGCAAUGGGCGAAAGCCUGAUGGAGCAACGCAGCGUGAGUGAUGAAGGUCUUCGGAUCGUAAAACUCUGUGAGUAGGGAAGCGGUACCUAAGCAGAAAGCAACGGCUAACUACGUGCCAGCAGCCGCGGUAAUUC
rnacentral:rRNA from 1 species